rnacentral:rRNA from 1 species
AGCCCAGAGCCUGAAUCAGUGUGUGUGUUAGUGGAAGCGUCUGGAAAGGCGCGCGAUACAGGGUGACAGCCCCGUACACAAAAAUGCACAUACUGUGAGCUCGAUGAGUAGGGCGGGACACGUGGUAUCCUGUCUGAAUAUGGGGGGACCAUCCUCCAAGGCUAAAUACUCCUGACUGACCGAUAGUGAACCAGUACCGUGAGGGAAAGGCGAAAAGAACCCCGGCGAGGGGAGUGAAAAAGAACCUGAAACCGUGUACGUACAAGCAGUGGGAGCCUCUUUAUGGGGUGACUGCGUACCUUUUGUAUAAUGGGUCAGCGACUUAUAUUCUGUAGCAAGGUUAACCGAAUAGGGGAGCCGAAGGGAAACCGAGUCUUAACUGGGCGUUAAGUUGCAGGGUAUAGACCCGAAACCCGGUGAUCUAGCCAUGGGCAGGUUGAAGGUUGGGUAACACUAACUGGAGGACCGAACCGACUAAUGUUGAAAAAUUAGCGGAUGACUUGUGGCUGGGGGUGAAAGGCCAAUCAAACCGGGAGAUAGCUGGUUCUCCCCGAAAGCUAUUUAGGUAGCGCCUCGUGAAUUCAUCUCCGGGGGUAGAGCACUGUUUCGGCAAGGGGGUCAUCCCGACUUACCAACCCGAUGCAAACUGCGAAUACCGGAGAAUGUUAUCACGGGAGACACACGGCGGGUGCUAACGUCCGUCGUGAAGAGGGAAACAACCCAGACCGCCAGCUAAGGUCCCAAAGUCAUGGUUAAGUGGGAAACGAUGUGGGAAGGCCCAGACAGCCAGGAUGUUGGCUUAGAAGCAGCCAUCAUUUAAAGAAAGCGUAAUAGCUCACUGGUCGAGUCGGCCUGCGCGGAAGAUGUAACGGGGCUAAACCAUGCACCGAAGCUGCGGCAGCGACACUAUGUGUUGUUGGGUAGGGGAGCGUUCUGUAAGCCUG